AGUGAACGCUGGCGGCAGGCCUAAUACAUGCAAGUCGAACGGCAGCACAGCAGAGCUUGCUCUGUGGGUGGCGAGUGGCGGACGGGUGAGGAAUACAUGGGAAUCUGCCCAGUCGUGGGGGAUAACGUAGGGAAACUUACGCUAAUACCGCAUGCGCCCUUCGGGGAAAGCCGGGGACCGUAAGGCCUGGCGCGAUUGGAUGAGCCCAUGUCGGAUUAGCUAGUUGGCGGGUAAAGGCCCACCAAGGCGACGAUCCGUAGCUGGUCUGAGAGGAUGCUCAGCCACACUGGAACUGAGACACGGUCCAGACUCCUACGGGAGGCAGCAGUAGGGAAUAUUGGACAAUGGGCGCAAGCCUGAUCCAGCCAUGCCGCGUGAGUGAAGAAGGCCCUCGGGUUGUAAAGCUCUUUUGUCCGGAAAGAAAGCGCCGGGUUAAUACCCUGGUGUCCUGACGGUACCGGAAGAAUAAGCACCGGCUAACUUCGUGCCAGCAGCCGCGGUAAU
rnacentral:rRNA from 1 species